CAUCCGCCUAUGCCCUAGGGCUAGUGGAAGACUUAAGAUGGCGGCGUUUGCACGGAGUGCAAUCACUGCGUCCUUACGGGGGUUGCAAGGCGUCCGAAGUAUGAGUCCACUAACAAAAGUCCAGAAACUCGCCAGUUAAUAGUAUUGUGUCUCUUCAAAAUAUCGGAGAAUAAUUUCUUUCUCGCUGAUCGCCUAACUUCUACUGACGAAGCUUGGAAGUUGCAGAAGGCUGGAGUGCAAUGGCGCCAUCUCGUCUCACUGCAACUUCCGCCUCCCGGGUUCAAGCGAUUCUCCUGCCUCAGCCUCCCAAGUAGCUGGGAUUACAGAUGGAGUUCGCUCUUGUUGCCCAGGCUGGAAUGCAAUGGCAUGACCUUGGCUCACUGCAACCUCUGCCUCCCCAGUUCAAGUGGUUCUCCUGCCUCAGCCUCCCGAGUAGCUGAGAUUACAGGUACUGGCUCCUGUAUCACCCAGCUCUGGAGUUGAAAGAGCUCUUCAUUCCUGAGUCUCCUGUACCACUGAGAAUAGGCUGGAGUGCAGUGGCGCAAUCUCGGCUCUCUGCAACCUUCACCUCCCGUGUUCAAGUGAUUCUCCUGCCUCAGCCUCCUGAAUACCUGAGAUUACAAGCAUGCACCACCACGCCCGUCUAAUUUUGUAUUUUCACUAGAGACGGGGUUUCUCCAUGUUGGUCAGGCUGGUCUCGAACUCCCGACCUCAGGUGAUCCGCCCGCCUCAGCCUCCCAAAGUGCUGGGAUUACAGGCAUGAGCCACCGCGUCCAGCAAGAAUAGGUGAUUUUCAAACUUGGAAACAUUCAGAAGUUAUCGCCUCAGUUUCAGAUUGAGUAGUCUCAAAGAGAUUACAGACAUCUACCACAAAUUCUCUACUUGGUGUGGUGCAAAAUCAGUAUGAUGUAAACUUUGUCUCUCAGUUUCUUCAAAGGAAAGAAGCAACUGGAACACACAUAUAACACUAACCCUUCCAGCUGCAUUAUGAGGGACCAGUACCUGUCUCAAGGCAAAAUUAUGACUUAGUUCAUCCUCACCUCUGGAGGCCAGUAAAAGUGGGUUAUAGAAGAACAAAGAGGCAUCUAGAUCUUUCACUGGGUUAUUUGGAGAGAAACAUCUCCUACCGAAGGCCAGUUUAACAAGACUGGUAGAGGAGGUUAUCUUAUCUAAUUCACAGAAAUCAACACAUUGAGUCAAGAAAAAUGAAACACAGAAACACUCUAAAUAAAAGAAGAUAAGUCUUCAGAAACCAACCCUAAUGAAAUGAAGAUAUGUGAUUAACCUGACAGGAAAUUAAAAAGAGCAACCAUAAAGAGUCUCAUGGGAGCAAUGCAUGAACAAACUGAGAAUUUUCAUAAAGAAAUAAAAGAUAACAAAAAGUAUAAAGUUGAAGAAUACAAUAACUGGACUCAAAAAUUUAAUGUGUCCAACAGAAGAAUCGAUGAAGCAGAAGAAAGGGCUAUCAAACUUGUAGAUAGGCCAUUGGAAAUCAUGUAAUGUGAGGAGAAAAAAGAAAAAAGAUUGAAGAUAGUUUAAGAGACUUUUGAGACAUCCUCAAAGGGGAAUAAUUUAUACAUUACCAGAUGGAGAAGAUAGAGGGAAAAGGACAGAAAACAUAUUUGAAGAAAUAAUGUCAGAAAACCUCAUAAUUCUGGCAAGGAAAUAGAAAUUUAGAUCUAAGAAUCUCGAACAUCAGGUAUGAUGAAUCCAAGGAGACUCACACCAAACCAUAUUGUAAUUAAAUAAAGGUUAAAGACAAUCUUCAGAGCAGCAAGGGAAUAGUCUCUUCUUACAUACAAAAUGAUCCACGGAAGACUGUCAGCAGACUUCACCAGAAAACUUUCACGCCAGAAGGCAGUCGUGAUAUAUACAAAAAGCUGAAAGGAAAACACUGCCAUCCAGGAAUACUAUCUCCAACUAUCCUGUGUUUCAAAAAUUAAGGAGAAAUAUAAAGUUCUCAAACAAAAGAUGUGGGAGUUUACCACCACUAGACCUGCACGGGAAGAAUUGCUAAAGGGAGUCCUUCAAGCUGUAGUAAAAGAGUGCUAAUUAGAAACAUGAAAA
rnacentral:lncRNA from 1 species